UUUUUAUCAUUUACAAAAUUGUUUUAGAGAAAUUUGUUUUUGGGGGUAUUUUAGUCUAAAGAUAUACAUUUCAGGUAAUUUUUGAAGUGUCGUAAAAAAGGCAAUUAACAUUUUUACAAAUUUUUUUUAUUACACUUUAUAAAAUAUAUGGAAAAAUAAAAAUAUAAAAAAAAAUUAUUAGUUCCAAAAAUUAGCAGCUGACGAAGUGGGGAGUCUCAAAAAAUGUGUACGUGAUCAUACCCACACUUUUAACAUUCCCAACAAUCUGAAACAAAAAAAAAAAUGGAAAAAACCUUUUUUCACGAAAUCUUGACUCCUUGAAAAGAAAAUAAACAAAAAAAAUUCGAAACAAGUGGUACAAAUUGUUUCGAAUUUUUUUAAAUAUAGUAAAAUAGUUGAUAUUUGGAGAUAUGGAUAGUUCCAGACAAGUCCACAGAGAAGGUAUGAUAAUGAUCAAUAAAAAUUGCUGAAACCUCUUUUUUCUUACAGUGUAAAAAAUUUUUACGUUUCUAUGAGAACUUUUCUCAGAAAAUGAAAAAAGGACCCCACUAAUCGACACAAAGCUGCUUUUAUUAUUUCACCUACCUAUUAUUUCAUAGCAGCAGCUGUAAACAUCAGCUUUGAGUCGUACUAAUUAAUUGAUAUAUAUACUUUUCAUUUAUUUAAGAACUAUUUUUAUGAUAAUGUAAACAGUAAUAGGAAUUAUUACAUUCCUUGUAUGUAUACCCUAAAAAAUGUUGAUAUAUAAGCUGUAUUAGCUUUUUUUACCGUAGUCACAAAAGAAGCAGAUGAAAUCCACUCUGUGUUCCGUUUUCAUUUGCAGUUAGUUAACAAAAAUGUAUGAGU